GGAUCAGGUAGGGAUACCCGCUGAACUUAAGCAUAUCAAUAAGCGGAGGAAAAGAAACCAACAGGGAUUGCCUCAGUAACGGCGAGUGAAGCGGCAACAGCUCAAAUUUGAAAUCUGGCCUCACGGUCCGAGUUGUAAUUUGUAGAGGAUGCUUCGAGCGUGGUCCGGUCUAAGUUCCUUGGAACAGGACGUCAUAGAGGGUGAGAAUCCCGUAUGUGACUGGGUGCCUAAGCUCUUGUGAAGCUCCUUCGACGAGUCGAGUUGUUUGGGAAUGCAGCUCAAAAUGGGUGGUAAAUUUCAUCUAAAGCUAAAUACUGGCCAGAGACCGAUAGCGCACAAGUAGAGUGAUCGAAAGAUGAAAAGCACUUUGGAAGGAGGGUUAAACAGUACGUGAAAUUGUUGAAAGGGAAGCGCUUGCAACCAGACUUGCAUGCACUCGAUCAUCCGGUGUCCUCACCGGUGCACUCGAAUGUAUUCAGGCCAGCAUUGGUUUCAGUGGUUGGAUAAAGGCCAGGGGAAUGUAGCUUCUCUCGGGGAGUGUUAUAGCCUCUGGUGCCAUGCGGCCUACUGGGACCGAGGACCGCGCUCCGGCUAGGAUGCUGGCGUAAUGGUUGUAAGCGACC
rnacentral:rRNA from 1 species